UCUUGCGCAAUGGGCGAAAGCCUGACGCAGCCAUGCCGCGUGAAUGAUGAAGGUCUUCGGCUUGUAAAGUUCUUUUGCCCGUGACGAUGAUGACGGUAACGGGAGAAUAAGCCCCGGCUAACUUCGUGCCAGCAGCCGCGGUAAUACGAAGGGGGCUAGCGUUGUUCGGAAUUACUGGGCGUAAAGCGCGCGUAGGCGGUUUUGCGAGCCAGAGGUGAAAUGCCUGAGCUUAACUUAGGAAUUGCCUUUGGGACUGUGAGGCUUUGAGGACGAGAGAGGUGAGUGGAAUUCCCAGUGUAGAGGUGAAAUUCGUAGAUAUUGGGAAGAACACCGGGGCGAAGGGGCUCACUACUCCAUCGACGCUUAGCGCGA
rnacentral:rRNA from 1 species